ACGCACCGGCGCACAUUAGCACCAGGCACUGAUGACUCAACGAGACAGAGACAUUACACACCCAUAGUGUAGACGGCUGUGGACUGUGAAGGCGACCUGGUCUCACUGAGUCACCGACUCUUGCGCCGAGCUCUAACCAGUUCAAAUUUUGUAAAAGCGGGAUUAGGGUUUUGAUUUUCAUUCCCCUUUUCCAGUUUUUUAUUUAAGUUAAGUUUCUUCUGGGUUAUUCACAAAUGGGGAGGCCAAGGUGCUACUUCGACAUAUCCAUUGGAGGAGAGCUAGAAGGAAGAGUAGUGGUGGAGCUCUACAAUGAUAUUGUCCCCAAAACAGCUGAGAAUUUCAGAGCUCUCUGCACUGGUGAGUUGGGCAUUGCCCCCCACACCAGUGCUCCUCUGCACUACAAGGGUGUUUGUUUCCACCGCGUUAUCAAAGGCUUUAUGAUUCAAGGUGGAGACAUUUCGGCUGGAAAUGGCAGUGGGGGAGAGUCGAUUUACGGGUUGAAGUUUGAAGAUGAAAACUUUGAUAUAAAGCAUGAGAGAAAAGGAAUGUUGUCCAUGGCUAAUAAAGGCCCUGACACCAAUGGCUCUCAGUUUUUCAUUACCACCACUCGGACUUCUCAUCUUGAUGGAAAGCAUGUUGCGUUUGGGAAGGUCAUCAAGGGCAUGGGUGUGGUUCGUUCAGUUGAGCAUGUGAACACGAAGGACGGAGACUUGCCUAUCCAGGAAGUCGUUAUUGCGGACUGUGGGCAGCUUCCUGAGGGAGCAGAUGAUGGGGUGUGUAACUUCUUCAAAGAUGGUGAUGUUUAUCCUGAUUGGCCUGCUGAUCUUGAUACAAAACCAGAGGACAUUUCUUGGUGGAUCACGGCUGUGGACACUAUUAAGGCCAUUGGAAACGAACAGUUCAAGAAGCAAGACUACAAGAUGGCCCUUCGAAAGUAUCGCAAGGCUUUGCGCUACGUGGAUAUAUGCUGGGAGCUGGAAGAAAUAGAUGAAGAGACGAGCUCCUCUUUGCGGAAGACAAAGUCCCAGAUACUUACUAAUAGCUCAGCUUGCAGGUUGAAAUUAGGAGACCUAGAAGGAGCAUUGUUGGACACAGACUUUGCAUUGCGUGAUUGGGAAGAUAAUGUGAAGGCUUUGUUUCGCCAAGGCCAGACCUAUAUGGCACUCAAUGACAUUGAUGCUGCAGUUGAAAGCUUCAAGAAGGCACUGGAUUUGGAACCAAAUGAUGGAGGAAUUAAGAAAGAGCUUCUGGUUGCUAAAAAGAAGGUUGCUAAUAGGUCCGAGCAAGAAAAGAAAGCAUAUUCCAGAAUGUUUCACUGAUUAAGCAGUCACAUGAGGUUGCACAUAGUACGGAUAAAUUUUGAUUCCUUCUGCACUGUCAACUGGUUUAAAGCUAUUCUGUUAAAACUCUUAGUUGGCCCCUAGGAUACAUCAGGCCCUGUAGGAAGGCCAAGACAACUAGCAGAAGACUAGAGGGAAAAUCAGAAUACUCUAGCUUAAAUCAAAUUUUGUUCCAACUGCAUUCACCUUUUGUUAGACUAGCACAUACGACUUUAUUGCUCUUCGAAACUUGAUUGCUAGUCUCUGAAUUCCUACGAAAUCAUCCGAACAGCCCUUUUAUCUUUCUUACAAAAAAUUGUCUUAUUUUUUGCAAUACAGAUGGUUUGUUGUUUGCAGAUAACUUUUUAUUGUUGAUGCUUCUAGAUC